ensembl:snoRNA Gm22762 predicted gene, 22762
GGUACCCUAGGCAUUGCUGGUCUUGCUGCAGUGUCACGUGGACAUCAGUUGGUAGCAGAGAGGAGAGAAGCUAUUUCUAAGCUCAGUGGCUCAGUAUUCUGACCUAUGAACAACCGAAGGACCAAUAUCCUAACAUU